AUUGAACGCUGGCGGCAUGCUUUACACAUGCAAGUCGGACGGUAACAGGCCGCAAGGUGCUGACGAGUGGCGAACGGGUGAGUAAUGCAUCGGAACGUGCCCAGUCGUGGGGGAUAACUACUCGAAAGAGUAGCUAAUACCGCAUACGAUCUAUGGAUGAAAGCGGGGGACCGUAAGGCCUCGCGCGAUUGGAGCGGCCGAUGUCAGAUUAGGUAGUUGGUGGGGUAAAGGCUCACCAAGCCAACGAUCUGUAGCUGGUCUGAGAGGACAACCAGCCACACUGGGACUGAGACACGGCCAAGACUCCUACGGGAGGCAGCAGUGGGGAAUUUUGGACAAUGGGCGCAAGCCCGAUCCAGCAAUGCCGCGUGCAGGAAGAAGGCCUUCGGGUUGUAAACUGCUUUUGUACGGAACGAAACGGCUCUGGUUAAUACCCGGGGCUAAUGACGGUACCGUAAGAAUAAGCACCGGCUAACUACGUG
rnacentral:rRNA from 1 species